UACGACUGCACCGGCUGGGCGAGGGCGCACCCCGGAGGCGCGCUCUUCAUCACCCUCAUGGAUGGCUGCGACGCCACCGACGUCUUCUACGCGCUGCACUCGUACGGACCCAACGGCGACGACACCGCCGCCAGGCGACUCGCCAUGCUCCCCACGUGUUUGGGUCCCGACGAGGAGCCCGACGAGCAGUUUGGUUCAUCCGAGGAUAAGAACUCCUCGGGCGUCCCCACCGCGUACGGGACCCUCCCCGACACCGGCGUGCACUCCAACGAUAACCUCCCGGGCGACGCAAACCCGGCGUUUGCGACGCUCAGGAAAAAGUUCGACGACGAGGGAUGGUUCAGGCGCGAUCCCCUGAAGGAGGCGGCGGUGCUGGGUACCACGCUCGGGCUGUACGCGAUCGGGUGGUUCCUGGCCAACUCGCAUCCGAUCCUCGCGGCGUGUUCCAUCGGCCUCGGGAUGCAGCAGGCUGGUUGGCUCGCGCACGAUUACAUCCACGGCCGCGGCAAGUGGUGCUCGAUGAUGCGCGGGUUCGGCUCGCUGACGAACGGUUUCAGCACCGAGUGGUGGCAGCACAAGCACAACAUGCACCACUCGUUCACCAACAUCGACGGGCGGGACGGUGAUAUCAAGCUCGAGCCCCUCUAUUUCCUCCAGUCGCCCGAGGUGACGGGGAGGCCCGAUAACCCGGGCUUCCGCAGGUGGCAGCACUGGUACGGGUACCCGCUCUACGCGUUCACCUACGUCCUCUGGCGCCGCCACUCGCUCGCGUCCGCGAUCCAGCGCAAGGAUAAGAAGGAGCUCGCCCUACUCGCGGUGCACUACGGAUGGCUCUUCGGCUGCUUGCCGCUCAGCGUGGCCAUCUCAUCCGUCCUGCUGGGCGGGUUCCUGGUGGGCGCCUUGGUGACGGCGACGCACCAGACCGAGGAGAUCAUGUUCGAGCAGGCUGGCGAGUUCGUGGACAUCCAGUUCCGGAGCACGCGGGAGGCUGACGUGGAUGGGCUGGAGCGAUGGCUGUGGGGCGGGAUGGACACGCAGCUCGUUCACCAUCUCUUCCCCACGAUGCCGAGGUACCGGCAUCACGCGGCGAGGCCGAUCAUUCAGCGAUGGGCGGCUGAGCACGGGUACGAUUUCAGGAUCUCCACGGCGAAGGAGAUCAUCGAGAAGAACUGGACCCACCUGAAGGAGAUGGCGGGGGUGAAGAUUCCCGCGCACAUCUAA
rnacentral:lncRNA from 1 species